rnacentral:rRNA from 1 species
GAUGAACGCUGGCGGCGUGCUUAACACAUGCAAGUCGAGCGAAGCGGAUCUUCGGAAGUUUUCGGAUGGAAGAGGAUCUGACUUAGCGGCGGACGGGUGAGUAACGCGUGGGUAACCUGCCUUACACUGGGGGAUAACAGUUAGAAAUGACUGCUAAUACCGCAUAAGCGCACAGGGCCGCAUGGCCUGGUGUGAAAAACUCCGGUGGUGUAAGAUGGACCCGCGUCUGAUUAGGUAGUUGGCGGGGUAACGGCCCACCAAGCCGACGAUCAGUAGCCGACCUGAGAGGGUGACCGGCCACAUUGGGACUGAGACACGGCCCAA